rnacentral:rRNA from 1 species
AAUCCAUAGGUUAAUGAGGCGAACCGGGGGAACUGAAACAUCUAAGUACCCCGAGGAAAAGAAAUCAACCGAGAUUCCCCCAGUAGCGGCGAGCGAACGGGGAGGAGCCCAGAGCCUGAAUCAGCAUGUGUGUUAGUGGAAGCGUCUGGAAAGGCGCGCGAUACAGGGUGACAGCCCCGUACACAAAAGCGCAUGUGCUGUGAGCUCGAUGAGUAGGGCGGGACACGUGGUAUCCUGUCUGAAUAUGGGGGGACCAUCCUCCAAGGCUAAAUACUCCUGACUGACCGAUAGUGAACCAGUACCGUGAGGGAAAGGCGAAAAGAACCCCGGCGAGGGGAGUGAAAAAGAACCUGAAACCGUGUACGUACAAGCAGUGGGAGCACCCUUUGGGGUGUGACUGCGUACCUUUUGUAUAAUGGGUCAGCGACUUAUAUUUUGUAGCAAGGUUAACCGUAU